UCCUACGGGAGGCAGCAGUGGGGAAUAUUGGACAAUGGGGGCAACCCUGAUCCAGCCAUGCCGCGUGAGUGAUGAAGGCCCUAGGGUUGUAAAGCUCUUUUGUGCGGGAAGAUAAUGACGGUACCGCAAGAAUAAGCCCCGGCUAACUUCGUGCCAGCAGCCGCGGUAAUACGAAGGGGGCUAGCGUUGCUCGGAAUCACUGGGCGUAAAGGGUGCGUAGGCGGGUCUUUAAGUCAGGGGUGAAAUCCUGGAGCUCAACUCCAGAACUGCCUUUGAUACUGAAGAUCUUGAGUUCGGGAGAGGUGAGUGGAACUGCSAGUGUAGAGGUGAAAUUCGKAGAUAUUCKCAAGAACACCAGUGGCGAAKGCGGCUCACUGGYCCGAUACUGACGCUGAGGCACGAAAGCRUGGGGAGCAAACAGGAUUAGAUACCCUGGUAGUCCACGCCGUAAACGAUGAAUGCCAGCCGUUGGUGGGUUU
rnacentral:rRNA from 1 species